rnacentral:rRNA from 1 species
AGUGAACGUUGGCGGCGUGGAUUAGGCAUGCAAGUCGAGCGAGAACCGUAGCAAUACGGGGACAGCGGCGAAAGGGACAGUAAUGUGUAGGUACCUACCCCGAGGUCCGGGAUAGCUGCGGGAAACUGCAGGUAAUACCGGAUAAUGUCUUCGGACCAAAGGUGUGAUUCCACCUUGGGAGGGGCCUGCAUCCUAUUAGCUAGUUGGCGGGGUAAUGGCCCACCAAGGCAACGAUGGGUAGCGGGUGUGAGAGCACGACCCGCGUCAUUGGGACUGAGACACUGCCCAGACACCUACGGGUGGCUGCAGUCGAGGAUCUUCGGCAAUGGGCGCAAGCCUGACCGAGCGACGCCGCGUGCGGGAUGAAGGCCUUCGGGUUGUAAACCGCUGUCGUAGAGGAGGAAAUGCAGGGGGGUUCUCCCCUCUGUUUGACCUAUUCUAGGAGGAAGGACGGGCUAAGUUCGUGCCAGCCGCCGCAGUAA